rnacentral:lncRNA from 13 species
AUGUUUGAAGGUGUACGGGACUAUAAAAAGUUUGGGAGCACCUGUUCUCCUCGUCCCGGGUUAUAUGGCACCAGCCGUACGCGUGGUGUCCCCGGUUUGCCAGCACAGCCCAGUGCGGUCUGUUCCACCCCGCCGCACUUACCGGGCUACGGGGAGUAUCCAGCCAGGACAGGUUGUGCAGGCUCAGUGCUCGAGACCUCCAGUGCGCCUCCACGGUCCGGUCCAUCCGGUGCCUCCUCCACGCACCAGGCCUCUGGUGGCAGCCCCACGCACCAGGCCUCCGGAGGCAGCCCCACGCACCAGGCUGUCUCUCCGUCUCCUCCGUCCAGGUGCUCCCGCCUGUCCAGCGCUUCCAGAGUCUCCCUCCGGUCCAGCGCUUCCAGGGUCUCCCUGCUGUCCAGCGCUUCCAGAGUCUCCCUCCUGUCCAGCGCUUCCAGGGUCUCCCUCCUGUCCAGCGCUUCCAGAGUCUCCCUCCUCUCCAGCGCUUCCAGAGUCUCCCUCCUGUCCGGAGCUACCAGAGCCGCCCGUCAGUCAGGAGCUGCCAGAGCCGCUCGUCAGUCAGGAGCUGCCAGAGCCGCCCGUCAGUCAGGAGCUGCCAGACCCGCCUGUCAGUCAGGAGCUGCCAGAGCCGCCCGUCAGUCAGGAGCUGCCAGAGUUGCCCUUCACUCCGGCGCUGCCAGAGUCGCCCUUCACGCCGGUGCUGCCAGAGUCGCCCUUCAUGCCAGCGCUGCCGGAGUCGCCCCUCAUGCCGGCGCUGCCGGAGUCUCCCGCGUGUCCGGUGCUCCCGUCCAUUGCAGGGUCCCCAGUCCGAGGUCGCUCCAAAGGCGCCACUUAAGUGGGCCAAGACUAUGGUGGAGUGGGGUCCACGUCCCGCACCAGAGCCGCCACCACGGACAAACGCCCACCCAGACUCUCCCCUAUAGGUUCAGGUUUUGCGGUCGGAGUCCGCACCUUUGGGGGGGGGGGGGGGGGGNNNNNNNNNNAUUAGUAGGCAUAGGAGAUAACAGAGACUCUAAAUCCAAAGCAUAUGAAAUGUAUUUAUUUCAGAGUAGGCCAACAGACUAA